UGCCUAGGAAUCUGCCUGGUAGUGGGGGAUAACGUUCGGAAACGGACGCUAAUACCGCAUACGUCCUACGGGAGAAAGCAGGGGACCUUCGGGCCUUGCGCUAUCAGAUGAGCCUAGGUCGGAUUAGCUAGUUGGUGAGGUAAUGGCUCACCAAGGCGACGAUCCGUAACUGGUCUGAGAGGAUGAUCAGUCACACUGGAACUGAGACACGGUCCAGACUCCUACGGGAGGCAGCAGUGGGGAAUAUUGGACAAUGGGCGAAAGCCUGAUCCAGCCAUGCCGCGUGUGUGAAGAAGGUCUUCGGAUUGUAAAGCACUUUAAGUUGGGAGGAAGGGUUGUAGAUUAAUACUCUGCAAUUUUGACGUUACCGACAGAAUAAGCACCGGCUAACUCUGUG
rnacentral:rRNA from 1 species